GCCCCAGAGCAGGAAGACCAAGGUCACACAAAACGUCCGGAUGGAGCUGGAAGGUGCCUGCUCUCUCUCCAGUCUGCCACUGCCCCCACCCUCCAUUUCUGCUCCUGUGCUGCAAUCCCACUGCAAAGCAGAGGCCCCAUCCACAUUCUUGCCAAGUCUGGCCUAGACUCCAUACCCACCUGGGCCUGGUUCCUUUAAAUUUAAAGCUAUAGAUCAGGUGACCCACCAGCAGUGGACACCAACCUGCCUUCCAAGAACAGAAACCGUCGGUGGGGAAGAGGCAGCCAGCUCUGACCUUCUUCCAAGACAAGAUCUUGGCUCAGGGCAGGGGAGUGGGAUCCCACAGCCCACCCUGAGAGGCCUGGGGGUGCCCACUGGAACCAGAAAGUCCCAAUUUAGGGGCAAAAAAGGGCCCAGAGAGAUGGCAGGCCAGGCAACGACCACAGAGUGAAAAGACGGAGGUGAUCCUGUUGAAACCGAAGGAGCCACCAGCCCAAAAGAGGAGGAGGAGGAGCCAGCAUGACAGGACGACAGCUGGGACACCAAAGCCAGCAAAGGGAGGAGGACCUGCCCAAGGCUGCAGGGACAGCGGUGACACAGAGGGGAAGCAAACCCAGUCUUCUGGUGGCCAGGGAUGGAAAGACAUCUGAGACAAAACAAAGGAUGACCCAUCCAGAGAGGACACAGCAUGGUCCAGAGGUGGCAGAGGAUUCAAGGCAAGUUAUCCCGAAGCAUGAAAAAUCAGACCAUCUGCAUCAUCUCCCACUGAAAUCCCUUCAACAGCCUCAUGAUCAGCAUCAUUAAUAAGAUUUAACGAUGUUCGGCAGCCAGCAGCGAUGGAUCACUUACCCCACGCCAGCCCUGUGCUGAGUGCUUGACACACACUGUCUCAUUAAUUCACACCACCCUGGAAGUAGCACUUAUGUCACGUAAUCCUAUAGAAGAGGAAGCAGACGCAGCACCCACCCAGGUGUGCUGAACCCUAAAUCAGGCACACUACACCACAGGUUCUCAGAGAGCAGCUGGGCCGGCGGCAUCAGCACCGCUGCCACCAGCUGGAUCAGACACGCUUGGGGGCGCGGCCCUGCAAUCUAUUUUACAAGCCACCCAGGGGAUUCUCAUGCACGCUUGGGUUUGCCAAUGCUCUGAUCGCUUCCCAGUGCUGCUGACGGGGAAAAACUGACACUUCUCUGCCUGGUAGUCAAGACCAUAGGGUUUUUCCUAGCCCAGCUGGUCAGCUCCCCCAGUGCAGCAGAGCCUUAGCCCAAAUCCUCUUACCCUAAGUUGCAGAAGGGGCCCAGGCCCCGCUCUGCACCUCAGCAUCUUGCCUGGGCCCGGCCUUGAAGUCACCUCCUUCCAGAAGCCCCCCUGACCAUCUGGCACCCCCAAAUUGCUCCACACCCCAGUCAGACUUACUACCGGGCACUUGCUGGCACACGAUGCCUUCCAGCUAGCGCUCAUGGCACAUUUCUGCCCAGUCCACAACGAGUUCCUGGAGGGCAGAGCCAGUACCUUAUUCACCUGAGUACCAUGCCACUCCACACAACACCAGGCCAGAGGGCUGUCAGGAAGUGUUUGCUGACUAUCAGAAGAAAAGACAAAUGCCUUGGGAAGCAAGUUCUGGCUCUCACCCUGACUCUGCCACUACCUCUCUGGGACAAGAGCCUUCCUAUCUCUAGGACUCAGUUUUCUCAUCUGUGAAAUGCACCGUUAUUCUAGUUGCUUCUAUUCUACUCAUCUGCUGAACAAACCCAGCAAAGCCUUACCCCAGACACUCUUUAUCUGGUAUCAGGAACGCACACGUGAAGACUAAAGAGGUCCCUGCUCUCUCCCUUCUAUUCUAGGAAAAGAGGAAGACAACAAACAAGCAAGCAGUAAAAAUUACUGUAUGCCUGACACAUACAGUAUCUACACACAUACGUUCUCAAUUGCAAAUAAGCAAGAUCAUUUCAGGGCAUGAUGAAUGUAUUAAAAAAUACAUAUAAUAGUAAUAUGACAGAAAGUGAAAAAAGGGGUUACUUUGCAUAGAAAGGUCAGGGAAGGCCCCUCUGAGGAGGUGACAUUUGAGCUGAGACUUGACAGAUAAGGAAGAACCAGCCAUGAAAAGAGCUGGGGAGAGGUGUUCCAGGCAGAAGGAACAGUACAUACAAAGGCCUCAGGCAAGAAUAAACUUGGCCUGUCCAAGGGGAAAAAAAGCAGGUUGCUGUGGUUAAAUCACAGUGAGUGCAAGAAUAAAAUAUUACCCAGUAGUACCCAGAGAGGGGGGCAGACAACCGACCUCCUACAAUUCUGAGGUGUUCAAAUCAGGUUGGCCAACCCAACCCAGAACAUCCGGGGCCCAAGGCACAGGCAGCACUGGGGGUUAGCGUAUGAGUCAGACCCCACGGCUUCCUGGGGCCCCAAAGGCCCUGGGGUGGGAAUAGGGGCAGGCAGCAACCCUCAGCAUGAGUGCCAUGCCAUACCCACGGACACACAUGGGUGGGAGAAAACAGGGUCACAUAAGUAUGUAGAACACAAGACACUCACGGCUGCAGCCUCCAGAAGGACAUGAUCAAGUGCUUCAGUGAAGUGCCAGGCCCUGAUCACAUUAUCUUUCCAGGACACAGCCAGGAUAGUGGAAAGGAGACAAGGCCCAGGGUUCAAGGCUUACUAGUCUUGGGCAAGUCUUAACCUUUUGGGGGUUCAGUUUCCUCACCUCAAAAUUGAGGCUACUACUAGUGACUCUCUCUUAGGGUUGCUGAAAAGAGUAAAUGAGAUACUAAACAUAAAGCACUGUGCCUGGCACACAGAAAGUGCUGAUAACUGGAAGCUGUUAUUAUUACCAUUAUUGGUUUUUCACUGCCUCAGUUCUCUCUGCUGUAAAAUAGUGAUAUUAAUACAUCAUAGGAUUGCUAUGAGUUUGUGCUAAUAAAUAUUCCAGCCUCCUAAUGCAAUAUCCAUUGUCAGGAAUGAAAAAAAAAUUGAGAGUCCUCUUUCCGAAUCUUUCAUCAGGUGCUGAAUUCCCCUCUACCCUACCGCAUUGUUUGGAAAAUGAGUAAGAGAUGAUUAAAUUCUAUUUUGACAAUGCUGUGAAA